rnacentral:lncRNA from 10 species
CAACCCUCCAAUCCUGCAGUUUCCUGACUGCUUCCUCCGGACCACCCCCAAUUCUGAGGGUGUCCAGCCCCUGUUGCAGUGAGCCAAGAUUGCACCACUGCACUCUCCAGCCUGGGUGACAGAGUGAGACUCCGUCUCAAAAAAGUGGACUACUUAAACUUAUCACUGAGUUUUUUUUAAGUUAAGGAUUCCUGAUACAUGACAUCACCACGACACAGAAAGCUCAGCUACCUAAAUCAAGGGGAAGGAGGUAACCUUAAGAACUCAAGAACGAGAAUGCAGCUGGACCAAGAACAGACUGGAAGAGAGUGGCUUAAUGCUGUCAGAGAGUCAGGUAGUGUUCUCUCUGCUUCUCUUUAGACAGUUACUUUAUUCUCCCCAUCCAUAAAUCAUCUCUCGCUGCAAUGUAAUUCACGUAUUCACUCAACAAAUGUUUAAUUGAGUUCCUCCAGGCACUGUUUUAGGCCCUGGAGGUAGAGGGGUGAACCAAAGCCUCUGCCUUCUGAAAGGUGUACGACAGGUAAAAUUACGCAAUCACAGUCAAUUGAGAAGGAAGCCAGUGGUUUCCAACUUCCCUAUGCAGGAGAAAUUCCUGGAGAAUGCAUUAACAACACCAAUUCCAGGGCCCCACCUCUAGCUGUCUGAUUCUGAAGCGAGGUGACAGAAACCCGUAUUUAUUUUUAUGUAUUUAUU